rnacentral:rRNA from 1 species
AACGAACGCUGGCGGCAUGCCUAACACAUGCAAGUCGCACGGGCGUAGCAAUGCGUUAGUGGCGCACGGGAGAGUAACACGUGGGAAUCUACCUUUUAGUUCGGAACAACACCGGGAAACUGGUGCUAAUACCGGAUACGCCCCGAGGGGGAAAGAUUUAUCGCUAAAAGAGGAGCCCGCGUCUGAUUAGCUAGUUGGUGAGGUAAUGGCUCACCAAGGCGACGAUCAGUAGCUGGUCUGAGAGGACGAUCAGCCUCACUGGGACUGAGACACGGCCCAGACUCCUACGGGAGGCAGCAGUGGGGAAUAUUGGACAAUGGGGGAAACCCUGAUCCAGCAAUGCCGCGUGAGUGAUGAAGGUCUUCGGAUUGUAAAGCUCUUUUGGCAGGGACGAUGAUGACGGUACCUGCAGAAUAAGCUCCGGCUAACUUCGUGCCAGCAGCCGCCGUAA